rnacentral:tRNA from 1 species
GGAGUUGUGGCUCAGUGAGAGAGCACUUGCCUUGCAUGCAUGAGGGUUCGAUCGUCAGCACCA